GUGUAUAAAUGUACCGAUUGUGAAGAGAGAGUGAUGUAAUCGUACAUUACAUGCUAGUUGGUAAAUUUUUAUUUUGACGAGUGGGAGGUUUGUAGUUCGAGCCGAAGGCAAGGG